rnacentral:snRNA from 1 species
GGAUGUGAGGGCGAUCUGGCUGCGACAUCUGUCACCCCAUUGAUCGCCAGGGUUGAUUCGGCUGAUCUGGCUGGCUAGGUGGGUGUCCCUUUCCUCCCUCACCGCUCCAUGUGCGUCCCUCCCGAAGCUGCGCGCUCGGUCGAAGAGGAUGACCUUCCCCGAUAGAGGAGGACCGUCUUGGGUCAAGGGCAUACGAGCAGCUGCGCUCCCCUGCCAGAACCUCCAACAAGCUCUCAAGGUCUAUUAUUGAGCUGUAUCCCCAGACCUUUUU